rnacentral:misc_RNA from 1 species
UGUGGGAGCGAGCCUGCUCGCGAUAGCGGUGUGUCAGCCGCCUAUUUUUAUCUGAUACGCCGCCAUCGCGAGCAGGCUCGCUCCCACA